GCCGCUCGUCCGCUCGGCUCCUCGGCUCCUCUGCCCCGCUGUCGCUCGGCCGGUCGGCUGCUCAGCUCCCAGGACGCCCGGCUCCGCGGGCGGGGCCGGCCUCUGCUGCCCAGAGCGCACUGCCGGCCGCCGACGACGCAGGCGGGUGAGCGUGCGGGGCCGGGUCGGGGAGGCUGCCUCUGCCUCGCUCCGGCUCCCUGCCGGGCUGGGGUCUCGGCGCGCCGCGGGAGUUGCCCGCUGCGUCCGGACGUGGGGUCUCGGGCGGCCUGCCCGCUCCCCGUGCCGCCCCCUGCCUUGGCGGCGCGGGUGCCCUUGGGGUGGGCGUGGGUUCGCCGCCGUCAGCCGCCGAGGGGCUGCGCGCGUCCCGCCGAGGGCACCUCUGCCCGUCCCGGAGGCGCCCCGAGCCCGGCCGCCGCUCCGUCCUGCGGCCCCGGCCCCUGCCCGACCCCCGCCCUCCGGCCUCCCCCUCCUUGUCCCCUGACCCCCCGGGUCUCCUGCCUCCUCGCCCUCUGGUUCCCCGGCCCCCUUACUCACUUCCUCCUGCUCCCCAGCUCCCCUGUCCCCCUGCUUCUCUGGGUCCAGUCCUGCCCCACAGCCCCCUCCACGGCCCCCUGCCCCGUGCCAUCCUGCCUCUCCGGGUCCAGUCCUGUCUCCUGUCCCCCUGCUCCUCCAAGUCCAGUCCUGCUCCCUGCCCCCCUGCCCCUGCGGGUCCAGUCCUGCCCCCUGCCCCCCUGCCCCUCCGGGUUCAGUCCUGCCCCACAGCCCACUCCCCGGCCCCCGCCCCUGUCCCAUCCUACUCCUCCGGGUCCAGUCCUGCCCCCCUGCCCCUCUGGCUCCCGGUCCUUCCUCGCAGUGCCCCGGACACCUGCUCCCCUGCCCUCCUGCCCCUGCGGGUCCAGUCCUGCCCCGCAGCCCACUCCCCAGCACCCCUGCCUCCUGGCCCUGGCGUCCUCGCGGCCUCCGCCCCUCCCUGCGGCCUCAGGUGCCCGGGGUCUCAGGCCCGGGCGGCGGCGGGGGGAGCAGUGCGGAGCGGACUCCGGCCGCGCGGGGGCCGUUUCCAGGGGGCCGGCGGGCCUGGGAGCGGGCAGACGGAGGUCAGGGUGCGGGUGGGUUCUCGAGCAGGAGGGGGGCUGGAGGGCAGUGCGCUCGCUGCCCAGGUCGCCUGUGGGGAGGGGCACGGGCGGUGGUCACCUGCGGGGAGAGGCACGGGCGGUGGUCGCCUUUGGGGUCCGCCAGGGCUGUCCUGUGUGA
rnacentral:lncRNA from 1 species